GGGCGCGGCGUCGCGGAGCUCGGGCCGGUGGAAGGUUUACCUGCUAGGCUCGUCCCACCUGUGUGGAGCUCCCAUCGCCCUCCAGCGUUGCGCAGCCUGAAGGGACAGGACGGACAAGCGGGUGCCUCCUUCUAAUUCAUCUUCACCAUUGUGGUUGUCAAUAUGGCAUGCAGAAUUAUCCCUCUUUCCAGGUUUUCCCCAAGGACCCUGGACAAUGCUGGUUUUUCCUAUGUGCACCACCAAAGGGCCUAUCCAGCUUCUGGAGUCUACCUGGAUUCCUGGGCUCAUGGCCCCUUCCUCCAUCUUCAAACCAGCAAUGGUGAGUUGAGUCUUUUUCACAUCACAUCUCUCUGUGAUCAUCUUCUGCCCUCUCCUCCAUUUUUAAAAACCUUUGUCGUUAGAUUGGACCUGCCUGAAUAAUCCAGGAUAAUCUUCCUAUUUUAAAUUGAGUAGAUGAACAACCUUAAUUUCAUCUGCCAUCUUAAUUCUUUGCCAAGGAAAGUAACAUAGUCACAGGUUCUGAAGAUUAGGGCAUGGAAAUCUUGGAAAAAGGGCACCAUUUUGCCUACUGUGAUUUCCAACUUAUCCUAUGAAGUAAAUCAUACCACGUAAAUUCCAAAUGCAAAGGAGUUCUUUUCCAUCUGUUUUUCUACAAAGAAAAACAACUGAAAUUGGCUUCAUACAACAAUUACAUGACUAAACUUCCAGUUAUAAAUUUAUAGUAGAAAGAGAAAGGUGUUUUCUGAUAAUGCAUUUUGGUUAAGAGCCAAAGAGUCUUCACUAAACAUUUGCUGAAAAUACUGUUAUAAACAAUGACUAUUAAAGUUAAAUAGUCAUCAAGUUAAGUAAAAUUCAAUUUAACUUAAAUAUUUAUUAGGAGUGAAAGCCAACAUAAAUGUUGAAAACUCAAAUCCUUAUUUCUCAACUGCCUCCUCAUUUUUCCACAAUGUAUUUCUGGCUGUUCGGAGGUAAUUUCCUAGGUUUUAUUAACCUGUAACAGAAGCAGUUUACAGCUGAAUCCAUGCCAGAGAAAAACUCAUUUGCAACCCGAUGUCGCAGCAUCCAGGGCCAAAGGGAUUGAAAGAAAAAAAAAAAGCAUGAACUCAGAAAACCUAGUUGCCUGGAAGCUGCAACGGGACUAGAAAAAGAGGGCCACCCCAAGAAAUGUAGGUAACCUGAUCCAUUAGCAACAUGUCAGCUUUUCUUUGCUAAAAAUUUCCAGAUAAAUACAGUAUACAUUUAAAAAAAUUAUUAAGUGACUAAUUUAUGCCUAGCAUGGUUUCAGCUACUGAGAAUACAGUCAUGCUGUGAACAAGGAAGACCAGGUUUCUCCCUUUGUGGGGUUUAUAUUCUUGUAGAAGGUGUUAGACAACAGAAAUGUAAAUGCUGAAAAUAAUAAAACAAUUUAAUUGUGAGUU
ensembl:lncRNA MAFTRR MAF transcriptional regulator RNA